UACGAAGGGGGCAAGCGUUGUCCGGAUUUACUGGGCGUAAAGCGCGCGCAGGCGGUCUCUUAAGUUUGGAGUGACAGUUGGUGGCUUAACUGCCAAAGUGCUUCGAAAACUGAGAGACUUGAGGGCUUCAGAGGGACACGGAAUUCCGGGUGGAGUGGUGAAAUGCGUAGAGAUCCGGAGGAACACCAAAGGCGAAGGCAGUGUCCUGGGGAGUACCUGACGCUCAGGUGCGAAAGCCAGGGGAGCGAACGGG
rnacentral:rRNA from 1 species